rnacentral:rRNA from 1 species
GAUGAACGCUGGCGGCGUGCCUAAUACAUGCAAGUCGAGCGAAUGGAUUAAGAGCUUGCUCUUAUGAAGUUAGCGGCGGACGGGUGAGUAACACGUGGGUAGCCUGCCCUUGACUCUGGGAUAACUGCGGGAAACUGUAGCUAAUACCGGAUACGACCCUCGGCGGCAUCGCCAGGGGGUGGAAAGAAUUUCGGUCAAGGAUGGACUCGCGGCCUAUCAGCUAGUUGGUGAGGUAACGGCGCACCAAGGCGACGACGGGUAGCCGGCCUGAGAGGGUGACCGGCCACACUGGGACUGAGACACGGCCCAGACUCCUACGGGAGGCAGCAGUGGGGAAUAUUGCACAAUGGGCGCAAGCCUGAUGCAGCAACGCCGCGUGAGGGAUGACGGCCUUCGGGUUGUAAACCUCUUUUAGUAGGGAAGAAGCGAAAGUGACGGUACCUGCAGAAAAAGCACCGGCUAACUACGUGCCAGCCGCCGCGGUAA